AUGAACGCUGGCGGCGUGCCUAAUACAUGCAAGUAGAACGCUGAAGGCGGAGCUUGCUCUUUCCGGAUGAGUUGCGAACGGGUGAGUAACGCGUAGGUAACCUGCCUGGUAGCGGGGGAUAACUAUUGGAAACGAUAGCUAAUACCGCAUAACAGUAGAUAUUGCAUGAUAUUUGCUUGAAAGGGGCAAUUGCUCCACUACCAGAUGGACCUGCGUUGUAUUAGCUAGUUGGUGAGGUAACGGCUCACCAAGGCGACGAUACAUAGCCGACCUGAGAGGGUGAUCGGCCACACUGGGACUGAGACACGGCCCAGACUCCUACGGGAGGCAGCAGUAGGGAAUCUUCGGCAAUGGACGGAAGUCUGACCGAGCAACGCCGCGUGAGUGAAGAAGGUUUUCGGAUCGUAAAGCUCUGUUGUAAGAGAAGAACGAGUGUGAGAGUGGAAAGUUCACACUGUGACGGUAUCUUACCAGAAAGGGACGGCUAACUACGUG
rnacentral:rRNA from 1 species